CUUACUUUCGCGCGCGCCACCUAUAUACCAUAGACAAACUAUACUCGUGACCAGUUUACAAUAGCUGUAUUCGAUAGUACCUAUCUUCUCUAUGGUUGGCAAUGGUAGUUCCAAUGCGCACGCAGAAACGUCAGCGUCAGUCAUUUCGGCGCAGGUCUCCGCCAUCUUGUCAAAGCACCUUGUUCAGCGUUCCGUGGACACAUGAUGUGGGUAUUUAAUAGUGGAAAAUCUUCUUUCUCUAUGUGGAAAUUCAUCUUCAUCGCUGGUCGGAAACGUGCCAUGUUUCAUCCCUCCGGUUACCCAGGAAUCGUGGGAGCUGCAACAGGUGGAAAGCCUCCAACAGCUCGACGUGGGGGCUCAAUGGGCUGGUGUGACCCGGCUGUACGGACGUUGAGACUCUCGGAUCCGGUAUGAGACUUGCAGGUGGCCUUGGUUUCUUGGACAGGCACAGAGGGCUAACUCCCUACUGGUUGACAUGCGGAACCUGUUUAACUUCUUUCGGGGUGGUUCAGAUUGGGUGGAUGCACUAGGAAUAUCACAUUGGACGGCAGCCUCUCUUUGACAGUGAUGAGAAUGACAAGGACAGUUUCUAGUCAGUGUACCUACAGUUAUUCGGAUCAACAGGUCAUAGACAACAGGUGAAACGACUUUAACAACGGUGAACGGACCGGAAAACUUCGGAGCCAACUUGGCGGCGAAACUGUCAACGGCAGAGGAUAAAGGACGGUCCCGGCGUAGAACUUUAUCUCCCACAUGGUAUCGGAUUUCUCUUCGUCGAAGAUUGUAGUGGUGA